GAGGAACUCGCCCCGAGAACAGAGAAAAGGUAGGCAAGGAGAGGAGAUGCUGAUGGCAUCUGGAAACAAGUCUUAGAGAUGGUCUGCACCCAGAGGGAAUAAGGGGAGACAUCCCCAACUGGAAUGUGUCCUGGAGCAGCUGCCUGGGAAGAAGUCCUCGAGUUUCCUCAAGGCCCCACUCCUGGCAGCUGAGUGCUGCACCUGCCUUCUCGAUCACGAGCCUGAGAACUGCACGGGGGAGCAGCCCAGACUGGCUGGAAACCAUGUUUUCAGAGUGCAGGGUCAAGUGGCGUGUAGGACUCUGUCAAAAGAAUGACCCCUUUCCCCACCACAUACCCACAACUGCACAGCCUCUGGACAGAUGUGAGAAGGCACCACCUCAAGAGGGGAGGAGCGGGGCUGAUCCUGGUCGGGCGGACCUGAGUCGGGCAGCCGCUCUCCCGGAACUGGAAGGGAAAGCCAGGCGGCUCUCAGGGGCUGUUGGUGUCUGAGCCGGGAGGGUCGAACGCCCAGGGCACUGCGCCCCGCAACUGACGCUCCUGCAAGGAAAAGCUCUGGCACGCCGAUGACGUCGCCGGCCUCGUCCAGCUCCAUGUCGCCCUCCGUCGCCAGGAUGC
rnacentral:lncRNA from 1 species